rnacentral:rRNA from 1 species
UACGUAGGGGGCUAGCGUUGUCCGGAUUUAUUGGGCGUAAAGAGCGUGUAGGCGGCCAGACAGGUCCGUUGUGAAAACUAGAGGCUUAACCUCUAGACGUCGAUGGAAACCGUCUGGCUAGAGUCCGGAAGAGGAGAAUGGAAUUCCGUGGUGUAGCGGUGAAAUGACGCAGAUAUCAGGAAGAACACCCGUGGCUAAGGCGGUUCUCUAGUACGGUACUGACGCUGAGACGCGAAAGCGUGGGGAGCGAACAGG